UGGGGAAUAUUGCACAAUGGGCGCAAGCCUGAUGCAGCCAUGCCGCGUGUAUGAAGAAGGCCUUCGGGUUGUAAAGUACUUUCAGUCGGGAGGAAGGUGGUAAGGUUAAUAACCUUAUCAAUUGACGUUACCGACAGAAGAAGCACCGGCUAACUCCGUGCCAGCAGCCGCGGUAAUACGGAGGGUGCAGGCGUUAAUCGGAAUUACUGGGCGUAAAGCGCACGCAGGCGGUUUGUUAAGUCAGAUGUGAAAUCCCCGGGCUCAACCUGGGAACUGCAUCUGAUACUGGCAAGCUUGAGUCUCGUAGAGGGGGGUAGAAUUCCAGGUGUAGCGGUGAAAUGCGUAGAGAUCUGGAGGAAUACCGGUGGCGAAGGCGGCCCCCUGGACGAAGACUGACGCUCAGGUGCGAAAGCGUGGGGAGCAAACAGG
rnacentral:rRNA from 1 species